UACAGAGGUCCCGAGCGUUGUUCGGAUUCAUUGGGCGUAAAGGGUGCGUAGGCGGUUUGCUAAGUUUGAUGUGAAAGCCCGGGGCUCAACCCUGGAAUUGCAUUGAAUACUGGCGGACUAGAGUACUGGAGAGGAAACUGGAAUUUACGGUGUAGCAGUGAAAUGCGUAGAGAUCGUAAGGAAGACCAGUGGCGAAGGCGAGUUUCUGGACAGUUACUGACGCUGAGGCACGAAGGCCAGGGGAGCAAACAGG
rnacentral:rRNA from 1 species